rnacentral:rRNA from 1 species
UGAGGAAUAUUGGUCAAUGGGCGAGAGCCUGAACCAGCCAAGUAGCGUGAAGGAUGACGGCCCUACGGGUUGUAAACUUCUUUUGUGCGGGAAUAAAGGAGCCUACGUGUAGGCUUUUGCAUGUACCGUAACGAAUAAGCAUCGGCUAACUCCGUGCCAGCAGCCGCGGUAAUACGGAGGAUGCGAGCGUUAUCCGGAUUUAUUGGGUUUAAAGGGAGCGUAGACGGGUUUUUAAGUCAGCUGUGAAAGUUUGGGGCUCAACCUUAAAAUUGCAGUUGAAACUGGAGACCUUGAGUACGGUUGAGGCAGGCGGAAUUCGUGGUGUAGCGGUGAAAUGCUUAGAUAUCACGAAGAACCCCGAUUGCGAAGGCAGCCUGCUAAGCCGCCACUGACGUUGAGGCUCGAAAGUGCGGGUAUCAAACA